ACGGCUCAGUAACACGUGGAUAACCUGCCCUUAGGUCUGGCAUAACCCCGGGAAACUGGGGAUAAUUCCGGAUAGAUCAUCGAUGCUGGAAUGCGCUUUGAUCCAAAGCUAUUGUGCCUAAGGAUGGGUCUGCGGUCUAUCAGGUUGUAGUGGGUGUAACGUACCUACUAGCCUACGACGGAUACGGGUUGUGGGAGCAAGAGCCCGGAGAUGGAUUCUGAGACAUGAAUCCAGGCCCUACGGGGCGCAGCAGGCGCGAAAACUUUACAAUGCGGGAAACCGCGAUAAGGGGACACCGAGUGCCAGCAUCCUAUGUUGGCUGUCCAUAUGUCUAAAUCACAUGUGUUAGCAAGGGCCGGGCAAGACCGGUGCCAGCCGCCGCGGUAACACCGGCGGCCCGAGUGGUGGCCACUAUUAUUGGGUCUAAAGGGUCCGUAGCCGGUUUGGUCAGUCUUCCGGGAAAUCUGACGGCUCAACCGUUAGGCUUUCGGGGGAUACUACCAGGCUUGGGACCGGGAGAGGUAAGAGGUACUACGGGGGUAGGAGUGAAAUCUUGUAAUCCCUGUGGGACCACCGGUGGCGAAGGCGUCUUACCAGAACGGGUCCGACGGUGAGGGACGAAAGCUGGGGGCACGAACCGGAUUAGAUACCCGGGUAGUCCCAGCUGUAAACUAUGCUCGCUAGGUGUCAGGGACGGUGCGACCGUUUCUGGUGCCGCAGGGAAGCCGUGAAGCGAGCCACCUGNGAAGUACGGCCGCAAGGCUGAAACUUAAAGGAAUUGGCGGGGGAGCACUACAACGGGUGGAGCCUGCGGUUUAAUUGGANUCAACGCCGGA
rnacentral:rRNA from 1 species